CUACGGGUCGCAGCAGUGAGGAAUAUUGCACAAUGGGGGGAACCCUGAUGCAGCAACGCCGCGUGGAGGAUGACGCAUUUCGGUGUGUAACUCCUUUUAUAUGUCAAGAAAAUGACGGUAGCAUAUGAAUAAGCACCGGCUAACUCCGUGCCAGCAGCCGCGGUAAUACGGAGGGUGCAAGCGUUACUCGGAAUCACUGGGCGUAAAGGACGCGUAGGCGGGUUGGAAAGUCAGGUGUGAAAUCCUACAGCUUAACUGUAGAACUGCACUUGAAACUUCUAAUCUAGAGUAUGGGAGGGGGAGAUGGAAUUAGUGGUGUAGGGGUAAAAUCCGUAGAUAUCACUAGGAAUACCUAAAGCGAAGGCGAUCUGCUGGAACAUAACUGACGCUAAGGCGUGAAAGCGUGGGGAGCAAACAGGAUUAGAUACCCGCGUAGUC
rnacentral:rRNA from 1 species